rnacentral:rRNA from 1 species
ACGAAUCCUUUCGGGGAUGAGUGGCGGACGGGUGAGUAACGCGUGAGAAUCUGCCUUUUGGUCGGGGACAACCACUGGAAACGGUGGCUAAUACCGGAUGUGCCUUUAGGGGUGAAAGAUUAAUUGCCAGAAGAGGAGCUCGCGUCUGAUUAGCUAGUUGGUGAGGUAAAGGCUCACCAAGGCAGCGAUCAGUAGCUGGUCUGAGAGGAUGACCAGCCACACUGGGACUGAGACACGGCCCAGACUCCUACGGGAGGCAGCAGUGGGGAAUUUUCCGCAAUGGGCGAAAGCCUGACGGAGCAAUACCGCGUGAGGGAGGAAGGCUCUUGGGUUGUAAACCUCUUUUAUCAGGGAAGAACCAAAUGACGGUACCUGAAGAAUCAGCAUCGGCUAACUCCGUGCCAGCAGCCGCGGUAAUACGGAGGAUGCAAGCGUUAUCCGGAAUUAUUGGGCGUAAAGCGUCCGCAGGUGGCUCAUCAAGUCUGCUGUCAAAGGCAGGGGCUUAACCCCUGAAAGGCAGUGGAAACUGGAGAGCUAGAGUGCAGUAGGGGUAGAGGGAAUUCCCGGUGUAGCGGUGAAAUGCGUAGAGAUCGGGAAGAACAUCGGUGGCGAAAGCGCUCUGCUGGACUGCAACUGACACUAAAGGACGAAAGCUAGGGGAGCGAAUGGGAUUAGAUACCCCAGUAGUCCUAGCCGUA